rnacentral:misc_RNA from 1 species
GCCCAUCAGCAAAGGCCUGAUGUACAAUGAACCUUUACCUGAAGGGGGUACCCAACGUUUGUUAGCCGAAACAGUUGCCUUCACUGCUUCCACAAACUGAUCAACAGUUGGCGAUUGCAUGCACAUCCUCUCUGCACCCAUCCUCAUCCUCAACGCAUUUUCCUCGGGACGAAAGAGAAGAAUAGAACCAUCUUCUUUUCUGU